rnacentral:rRNA from 1 species
UGCGUAGAGUGCAAGCGUUAUCCGGAUUUAUUGGGCGUAAAGUGUUUCGUAGGCGGUUUUUUAAGUCUAAGCUUAAAAACUGAGGCUCAACCUCAGCUACAGGCUUGGAUACUGGAUUACUAGAGGGAAGACGGGGGUGCUGGAACUUGCAGCGGAGCAGUGAAAUGCGUUGAUUUUGCAAGGAACACCGAGGGCGAAGGCAAGCACCUGGACUUUUUCUGACGCUGAGGAACGAAAGCUAGGGGAGCGAAAGGGAUUAGAGACCCCUGUAGUCCUAGCCGUAAACAAUGUCCGCUAGGGGCGCGCAAUUUAGUGCACCCCGCAAGCUAACGCGUUAAGCGGACCGCCUGGGGAGUACAGCCGCAAGGCCGAAACUCAAAGGAAUUGGCGGGGAGGCGCACAACCAGUGGAGCGUGUGGUUUAAUUCGAGACGAAACGAAGGACCUUACCUGGGUUUGACAUGCUAUCGUUUUAGUCCUGAUGAAAGUUGGGAUGAUCUUCCAAUUUAUUGGAGAUGAUAGUACAGUUGCUGCAUGGCUGUCGUCAGCUCUAGGCGUGAGCUGUAGGCUUAAGUGCCUCAUAGAGCGCAACCCCUACUCUGUGUUAAAUUUUUUCACAGGGAACUGCCCUGAGUCUUACUCGGGGAGGAAGGAGGGGACGACGUCAAGUCAGCACGGCACUUAUAUCCAGGGCCACACACACACUACAAUGGCGGAUAACAACGAGUCGCAAGCGGGUAACCGUAAGCUAAUCUCUUAAAUUCCGCCUCAGUUGGGAUUGAGGGCUGCAACUCGCCCUCAUGAACCCGGAAUUGGUAGUAAUCGCAGGUCAGCAAACUGCGGUGAAUACGUUCUCACCUCU